AGUGAACGCUGGCGGUAGGCCUAACACAUGCAAGUCGAACGGCAGCACAGUAAGAGCUUGCUCUUACGGGUGGCGAGUGGCGGACAGGUGAGGAAUACAUCGGAAUCUACUUUUUCGUGGGGGAUAACGUAGGGAAACUUACGCUAAUACCGCAUACGACCUACGGGUGAAAGCAGGGGAUCUUCGGACCUUGCACGAUUGAAUGAGCCGAUGUCGGAUUAGCUAGUUGGCGGGGUAAAGGCCCACCAAGGCGACGAUCCGUAGCUGGUCUGAGAGGAUGAUCAGCCACACUGGAACUGAGACACGGUCCAGACUCCUACGGGAGGCAGCAGUGGGGAAUAUUGGACAAUGGGCGCAAGCCUGAUCCAGCCAUACCGCGUGGGUGAAGAAGGCCUUCGGGUUGUAAAGCCCUUUUGUUGGGAAAGAAAGGCAGCAGGUUAAUACCCCGCUGUUCUGACGGUACCCAAAGAAUAAGCACCGGCUAACUUCGUG
rnacentral:rRNA from 1 species